UACCCACUGCACCUCCCUCAGAGCCUCCAUUUCUGUGACUGCAGCCCUCGUAGCAGGAACAAAUCAACAGGCUUCAGGGACAUUCAGAUGUCCUCCUAAGACCAUACCCUGUGAACUCCGGAUUCCUGCUAAAUGAAAACAGGAGUACACAGUAGGAUUGUCUUCAAUUCUGUGCAUCUCUCGCAGGAGGAAGCUCCCGUGAACUCUGGGCUGGACGUCGUCCAGAAGGGGAUCUACCUUGCUGUGACAGGCCUUGAGUCCUCCGCUCCUCUGGCCGGGCCCGUCAUUCUGGAUGCGGCUCCAUAGGUCAACUUGUCUUCUACACCAAGAUGCCUUUUGGGUUCAGAGGGAUGAAGUGAAAACUCCCAGCCCCUGCACAUCCCUGCUGGAGCUUUAUGUACAAUAUACAACCCAGACAGACCAGGUGUAGCAUGCUAAAAAAUAAGUGCAGAGUUAAGUUUUGAUCAAUGGAGCAAGAAGAAAUGGAUGCCACAGGAGAAAGGAUCUAACGCUCUCCCGGUGAAUUGAGAAAGCUUCCUUUGAAAUACAUGAAUAUCAGAAAAGUGCCCUCAGGCAAAGAAGAUGCAGCUUUUUAAGAAAAGGAUCCAAUUUGGGAAUGAGGAACAGUGCUGCCACGGCCACACAGAUAUUGGCGAUUUUUUCUCUCAUACACGGGCCUGAAGAUCAUUUUCUACCCAUGGCCUUGUUUUUCAACUUCCAAAAAUCCGUAGAAAGAUGAAGAGCCCCAGCCAGACAACCUAGGACCACAG